rnacentral:rRNA from 1 species
GGGGAAUUUUCCGCAAUGGGCGAAAGCCUGACGGAGCAAUACCGCGUGAGGGAUGACUGCCUAUGGGUUGUAAACCUCUUUUUUCAGGGAGGAAUAAAUGACGUGUACCUGAAGAAUAAGCAUCGGCUAACUCCGUGCCAGCAGCCGCGGUAAGACGGAGGAUGCAAGUGUUAUCCGGAAUCACUGGGCGUAAAGCGUCUGUAGGUGGUUUAAUAAGUCAACUGUUAAAUCUUGAGGCUCAACCUCAAAAUCGCAGUCGAAACUAUUAGACUAGAGUAUAGUAGGGGUAAAGGGAAUUUCCAGUGGAGCGGUGAAAUGCGUAGAGAUUGGAAAGAACACCGAUGGCGAAGGCACUUUACUGGGCUAUUACUAACACUGAGAGACGAAAGCUAGGGUAGCAAAUGGGAUUAGAUACCCCAGUAGUC